rnacentral:misc_RNA from 1 species
CCCUUGUGGAGGAGGACGCCGAAGGUGGGGCUAAUGACUGGGGUGAAGUCGUAACAAGGUAGCCGUACCGGAAGGUGCGGCUGGAUCACCUCCUAACAGGGAGACAACAAAAUGUUUAAAAUUAUUAUUUUGUCACCUUAGGUCGAUCGGUAUCUCACAUUCUCAAUUUAUUGAGGAUUUCAUUUCCUAAGUUUUUCUAGGUCACACCCAUUAUUUUUCCUGGGCCAUUAGCUCAGGUGGUUAGAGCGCACCCCUGAUAAGGGUGAGGUCCCUGGUUCAAGUCCAGGAUGGCCCAUAUCUCUAUGUUGGGGGUAUAGCUCAGUUGGUAGAGCGCCUGCUUUGCAAGCAGGAUGUCAGCGGUUCGAGUCCGCUUACCUCCACUGAUUACCACCUCUUCCAUAAUCUUUAGAAGGGAAAUUUUUGAGUUGUGAUCAAAUUCUGAACGAAUCUAGCUUCCUAAUGAAAUCAUUAAGAUGCUGGACUCAUUGAAUUAAUUUCAUUGUUUUCAGAGAACCUUGACAACUGCAUAGAUUAUUUUUAAAGACAAUUAGCAUCUUUAAUGAUGCAGAUUUAUUAUUUGUGCGAAUGCAUUAAUAACAAUUCUAUUAAGCUGAUGCUUCAAUUUUUGAAGUUAUUGGUCAAGCUACAAAGGGCUCACGGAGGAUA